CGAAGGAUCCAAGCGUUGUCCGGAUUUACUGGGUUUAAAGGGUGCGUAGGCGGACUACUAAGUCAGUGGUGAAAGCUUGCAGCUUAACUGUAAAAUUGCCAUUGAAACUGAUAGUCUCGAAUAUGGUUGAGGUGGUUGGAAUGUAUCAUGUAGCGGUGAAAUGCUUAGAUAUGAUACAGAACACCGAUUGCGAAGGCAGAUCACUAAACCAUUAUUGACGCUGAGGCACGAAAGCGUGGGGAUCAAACAGGAUUAGAUACCCUGGUAGUCCACGCCCUAAACGUCGCAUACUCGGUUUUAGCGAUAAACAGUUAGAACCCAAGCGAAAGCGUUAAGUAUGCCACCUGGGAAGUACGUCCGCAAGGAUG
rnacentral:rRNA from 1 species